UGGUUUUCUAGUUAAAAAAUAUCUUCCUCAAAAUCACAGCCUUUGAGAUAGAAUUUGAAAGGAUUUUAGGGAAAAAAUAUAUAUUUGAAAUCAAAAUUGAAACGAUUCUUUGCUCCAAUCCCACCACGGGAUGAAUGGGUUAUUGUGUAUUCCUCAAUCCUCAUCUCUGACUAGACUUCCUCUAUCGUUUCUCUCUCGCCAAUUUGAAUCUUUAUAGGUUUUCUCGGCAAUGGAAAUUGGGUCUUGGUCUGACGCUCGUCCUAUCGACGAUUCACAAGAAAGAUGGGGUUAGAAGAAUCUGUAGAGGCUUACCUGCGUCUCUACAUGGUGUGAUUAUUCACCGUGGCUUAUACUUUGGAGGGCUCAAGCUGUGACUUCAUCUGCUGGAUUGGCUUCUUACCCAUUGGCCAUUGUGAAAGACAUGGAUUGGUCUAAGCCCAAAUAUUGGCACUGCAUUCGUUUUUGAUAUUUUCUUGUCAAUGCUUUCUUCUCCCCAUAUGGAUAAAGCUGCGAGGUAAGCUAGAAGUGAUAUUUUCUUGUCAAUCGCUUUAUUAUGGCUAAAGAUUACAAAGGUUCGAACUUUGAGAUACUCUUGUUGCUGCAACCUUUCUCAGAACGGAUAAUGUGAAUUUUAUUACUUGGUUGCUGCAACCUUUCUGUUGUUCUUGUUAGACUCUUAUAGACUCUGUUUUGUCAUCUUCUUCUCCUUGUGCUUCUUUUCUUCUCUUCAUCAUCUUCUCACUAACUCCUUUCUCUUUGUUGCAGGUUAAUCUCAACACUAACCUCAGUUUGUUUUUAUAUUGCAAUUUGCCCAUAUGUUCAAUACUAAAAGACGUCACAAAGAGCAUGCAACUACGGCAUGUAAGAGUUGAGAUUAACCUGAUGAUUCAUUUUGUUUCUUAUCUAUUUACAGAUUGAAUCAUCUAUACCCCCUUCUGAUCAGAUAGGAGUUGCAUCGGUUCAAGGGGAGGUUGGGGAAAUCAUUCCGAUGAAAACUAUGAAAAUGGCUUGGGAACCACCGUACAUCCCACUUGAAAAAAGGAAUAGACAAGUUGAUAGAAUGAACUUUCAAAUUAACAUCUUGGGGUGUACUUAGAGAAGGUCUGCUCUCAAACAUUUGAAGGACAACUAUUGCCUUCUUUACAUCAACAACCCAUAUAAGGUAGAUGAAUCUGAGCAAAGCAUUGUGCUUCAAAUGAUGUUCCCUUCUGAGCCACCAGGGCGAGGAAGAAAUUCAGAAGCAAAGCAUUUGAAAAUGGACAUUACAGAUGAGCUAGCUAGGAUUACACAAAUGAAGCUACAACUUAAGUGUACAAGGCAGGAAAUUGAGCGUGCAGUUGUUCAAGCUGUCGAGAGUAAACGAGAUGUCGAGAUCACACUUUAUACAAUAGGAUAAGAGAGUCUUUGAUCUGUUAUUAACAUAAUCUUUAUAAAAUUUAGUCCUGUCUUUUAUGAACAAAAAGUUUCUUUU